GAGCUGGGCACGUUGGCACGGCACAUCAUCCUGACCUAUCCGGAUAACUACAAGCUGUUCGGCGAGCGCGAAUUCACCUGGAACAAGAUCCGCCAGCAAAAUCGGAAUCCGCUGCUGACGAUGCUCGAAGGCGCCGACGGCCUGAAGACCGGUUACACCAAGGAGGGCGGCUUCGGCAUGGUCGGCUCCGCGGUGCAGAACGGCAUGCGGCUGAUCGUGGUGGUCAACGGACUUGAAGAUGCCG
rnacentral:misc_RNA from 1 species